rnacentral:tRNA from 1 species
GGAGAGGUGGCCGAGUGGCUUAAGGCGCACGCUUGGAAAGCGUGUAUACGGGAAACCGUAUCGUGGGUUCGAAUCCCACCCUCUCCGCCA